CAGUAGCCGCGGUAACACCGAGGGUGCGAGCGUUAAUCGGAUUUACUGGGCGUAAAGCGUGCGUAGGCGGCUUUUUAAGUCGGAUGUGAAAUCCCUGAGCUUAACUUAGGAAUUGCAUUCGAUACUGGGAAGCUAGAGUAUGGGAGAGGAUGGUAGAAUUCCAGGUGUAGCGGUGAAAUGCGUAGAGAUCUGGAGGAAUACCGAUGGCGAAGGCAGCCAUCUGGCCUAAUACUGACGCUGAGGUACGAAAGCAUGGGGAGCAAACAGGAUUAGAUACCCCGGUAGUCCCUGUCUCUUAUAC
rnacentral:rRNA from 1 species